rnacentral:rRNA from 1 species
UACGUAGGGCGCAAGCGUUGUCCGGAAUUAUUGGGCGUAAAGAGCUCGUAGGUGGUUUGUCGCGUUGUUCGUGAAAACCGAGGGCUUAACUCUCGGCGUGCGGGCGAUACGGGCAGACUGGAGUACUGCAGGGGAGACUGGAAUUCCUGGUGUAGCGGUGGAAUGCGCAGAUAUCAGGAGGAACACCGGUGGCGAAGGCGGGUCUCUGGGCAGUAACUGACGCUGAGGAGCGAAAGCGUGGGGAGCGAACAGG